UAAAAGAGCAAAGUAAACGAAAGUUUAUGACGCAAAGCCUUAGGUCUAAAAGCAUAUAUGCUUAUGAUUGCUAGGUUGC
rnacentral:ncRNA from 1 species